AUGCUCGCUUCGGCAGCAAAUAUGCUAAAAUUGGAAUGAUACAGAGAAGAUUAGCAUGGCCUCUGCACAAAGAUGACAUGCAAAUUCGAGAGGCAUUCCAUUUUUAU
rfam:Pongo abelii chromosome 8.